UACGUAGGGUGCAAGCGUUAAUCGGAAUUACUGGGCGUAAAGCGUGCGCAGGCGGUUUUGUAAGUCUGUCGUGAAAAUCCCCGGGCUUUAACCUGGGGAACUGCAUUUGUGACUGCACGGCUAGAGUGUGUCAGAGGGGGGUAGAAUUCCACGUGUAGCAGUGAAAUGCGUAGAUAUGUGGAGGAAUACCGAUGGCGAAGGCAGCCCCCCUGGGGAUAACACUGACGCUCAU
rnacentral:rRNA from 1 species